rnacentral:rRNA from 1 species
GUAGGGAAUCUUGCGCAAUGGGUGAAAGCCUGACGCAGCCAUGCCGCGUGAAUGAUGAAGGUCUUAGGAUUGUAAAAUUCUUUCACCGGGGACGAUAAUGACGGUACCCGGAGAAGAAGCCCCGGCUAACUUCGUGCCAGCAGCCGCGGUAAUACGAAGGGGGCUAGCGUUGCUCGGAAUUACUGGGCGUAAAGGGAGCGUAGGCGGAUAGUUUAGUCAGAGGUGAAAGCCCAGGGCUCAACCUUGGAAUUGCCUUUGAUACUGGCUAUCUUGAGUAUGGAAGAGGUAUGUGGAACUCCGAGUGUAGAGGUGAAAUUCGUAGAUAUUCGGAAGAACACCAGUGGCGAAGGCGACAUACUGGUCCAUUACUGACGCUGAGGCUCGAAAGCGUGGGGAGCAAACAGGAUUAGAUACCCUGGUAGUCC